GACGAACGCUGGCGGCGUGCCUAAUACAUGCAAGUAGAACGCACAGUUUAUACCGUAGCUUGCUACACCAUAGACUGUGAGUUGCGAACGGGUGAGUAACGCGUAGGUAACCUGCCUGGUAGCGGGGGAUAACUAUUGGAAACGAUAGCUAAUACCGCAUAAUAUUGAUUAUUGCAUGGUAAUUGAUUGAAAGAUGCUAUUGCAUCACUACCAGAUGGCCCUGGGUUGUAUUAGCUAGUAGGUGAGGUAACGGCUCACCUAAGCGACGAUACAUAGCCGACCUGGGAGGGUGAUCGGCCACACUGGGACUGAGACACGGCCCAGACCCCUACGGGAGGGAGCAGGAGGGAAACUUCGGCAAUGGACGAAAGUCUGACUGAGCAACGCCGCGGGAAGGAAGGAGGGUUUCGGAUCGUAAAGCUCGGUUGUAAGGGAAGAACGGGUGUGAGAGUGGAAAGUUCACACUGUGACGGUAUCUUACCAGAAAGGGACGGCUAACUACGUG
rnacentral:rRNA from 1 species